UACGUAGGGACCAAGCGUUGUCCGGAAUCAUUGGGCGUAAAGCGCGUGUAGGCGGCCCGGUAAGUCCGCUGUGAAAGUCGGGGGCUCAACCCUCGAAUGCCGGUGGAUACUGUCGGGCUAGAGUACGGAAGAGGCGAGUGGAAUUCCUGGUGUAGCGGUGAAAUGCGCAGAUAUCAGGAGGAACACCAAUUGCGAAGGCAGCUCGCUGGGACGUUACUGACGCUGAGACGCGAAAGCGUGGGGAGCAAACAGG
rnacentral:rRNA from 1 species